AAAGCGUGCGCAGGCGGUGAUGUAAGACAGAUGUGAAAUCCCCGGGCUCAACCUGGGACCUGCAUUUGUGACUGCAUCGCUAGAGUACGGCAGAGGGGGAUGGAAUUCCGCGUGUAGCAGUGAAAUGCGUAGAUAUGCGGAGGAACACCGAUGGCGAAGGCAAUCCCCUGGGCCUGUACUGACGCUCAUGCACGAAAGCGUGGGGAGCAAACAGGAUUAGAUACCCCUGU
rnacentral:rRNA from 1 species